rnacentral:tRNA from 1 species
GCCCCCAUCGUCUAGCCCGGCCUAGGACAUCGGCCCUUCAAGCCGGUAACGCGGGUUCGAAUCCCGCUGGGGGCACAA